rfam:Kwoniella heveanensis BCC8398 unplaced genomic scaffold supercont1.25, whole genome shotgun sequence.
GGAGCCUUCGUAUAUCGGUUAGUACGUGAGAUUCUGAUUACUAAUAAGUGAUCGUUCUCGAAAGGAGGGUUCGAUUCCCUCAGGCUCUU